rnacentral:rRNA from 1 species
CCCUGCCCUUUGUACACACCGCCCGUCGCUGCUACCGAUUGAAUGAUCCGGUGAAUAUUCGGGACUGCACGAUUCCUUGAGAAUCGAGCGGGAACUUAAGUGAACCUUAUCAUUUAGAGGAAGCAAAA